rnacentral:rRNA from 1 species
UCUGAAUCAGUUGGUGUGUUAGUGGAAGCGUCUGGAAAGUCGCACGGUACAGGGUGAUAGUCCCGUACACAAAAACACACUGGCUGUGAACUCGAUGAGUAGGGCGGGACACGUGACAUCCUGUCUGAAUAUGGGGGGACCAUCCUCCAAGGCUAAAUACUCCUGACUGACCGAUAGUGAACCAGUACCGUGAGGGAAAGGCGAAAAGAACCCCGGCGAGGGGAGUGAAAUAGAACCUGAAACCGUGUACGUACAAGCAGUGGGAGCACCUUCGUGGUGUGACUGCGUACCUUUUGUAUAAUGGGUCAGCGACUUAUAUUUUGUAGCAAGGUUAACCGAAUAGGGGAGCCGUAGGGAAACCGAGUCUUAACUGGGCGUCUAGUUGCAAGGUAUAGACCCGAAACCCGGUGAUCUAGCCAUGGGCAGGUUGAAGGUUGGGUAACACUAACUGGAGGACCGAACCGACUAAUGUUGAAAAAUUAGCGGAUGACUUGUGGCUGGGGGUGAAAGGCCAAUCAAACCGGGAGAUAGCUGGUUCUCCCCGAAAGCUAUUUAGGUAGCGCCUCGUGAACUCAUCUUCGGGGGUAGAGCACUGUUUCGGCUAGGGGUCCAUCCCGGAUUACCAAACCGAUGCAAACUCCGAAUACCGAAGAAUGUUAUCACGGGAGACACACGGCGGGUGCUAACGUCCGUCGUGAAGAGGGAAACAACCCAGACCGCCAGCUAAGGUCCCAAAGUCAUGGUUAAGUGGGAAACGAUGUGGGAAGGCAUAGACAGCCAGGAUGUUGGCUUAGAAGCAGCCAUCAUUUAAAGAAAGCGUAAUAGCUCACUGGUCGAGUCGGCCUGCGCGGAAGAUGUAACGGGGCUAAACCAUGCACCGAAGCUGCGGCAGCGACGCUUAGGCGUUGUUGGGUAGGGGAGCGUUCUGUAAGCCGUUGAAGGUGGCCUGUGAGGGCUGCUGGAGGUAUCAGAAGUGCGAAUGCUGACAUAAGUAACGAUAAUGCGGGUGAAAAACCCGCACGCCGGAAGACCAAGGGUUCCUGUCCAACGUUAAUCGGGGCAGGGUGAGUCGACCCCUAAGGCGAGGCUGAAAAGCGUAGUCGAUGGGAAACAGGUUAAUAUUCCUGUACUGGGUGUGACUGCGAAGGGGGGACGGAGAAGGCUAGGCUAGCCGGGCGACGGUUGUCCCGGUUUAAGCAUGUAGGCGGAGCGACUUGGUAAAUCCGGUUGCUUAUCAACGCUGAGGUGUGAUGACGAGCCACUACGGUGGUGAAGUAGUUGAUGCCAAGCUUCCAGGAAAAGCCUCUAAGCAUCAGGUGACAUUCAAUCGUACCCCAAACCGACACAGGUGGUCAGGUAGAGAAUACUCAGGCGCUUGAGAGAACUCGGGUGAAGGAACUAGGCAAAAUGGUGCCGUAACUUCGGGAGAAGGCACGCUGGCAUUAGGUAAAGAGACUUGCUCUCGGCGCCGAAGCCAGUCGCAGAUACCAGCUGGCUGCAACUGUUUAAUAAAAACACAGCACUGUGCAAACACGAAAGUGGACGUAUACGGUGUGACGCCUGCCCGGUGCUGGAAGGUUAAUUGAUGGGGUCAGCCGCAAGGCGAAGCUCUUGAUCGAAGCCCCAGUAAACGGCGGCCGUAACUAUAACGGUCCUAAGGUAGCGAAAUUCCUUGUCGGGUAAGUUCCGACCUGCACGAAUGGCGUAAUGAUGGCCAGGCUGUCUCCACCCGAGACUCAGUGAAAUUGAACUCGCUGUGAAGAUGCAGUGUACCCGCGGCAAGACGGAAAGACCCCGUGAACCUUUACUAUAGCUUGACACUGAAUAUUGAGCCUUGAUGUGUAGGAUAGGUGGGAGGCAUCGAAGCGUGGACGCCAGUCUGCGUGGAGCCAACCUUGAAAUACCACCCUUUAAUGUUUGAUGUUCUAACUCGGCCCCAUAAUCUGGGGUGAGGACAGUGUCUGGUGGGUAGUUUGACUGGGGCGGUCUCCUCCCAAAGAGUAACGGAGGAGCACGAAGGUUAGCUAAUCACGGUCGGACAUCGUGAGGUUAGUGCAAAGGCAUAAGCUAGCUUGACUGCGAGAGUGACGGCUCGAGCAGGUACGAAAGUAGGUCUUAGUGAUCCGGUGGUUCUGAAUGGAAGGGCCAUCGCUCAACGGAUAAAAGGUACUCCGGGGAUAACAGGCUGAUACCGCCCAAGAGUUCAUAUCGACGGCGGUGUUUGGCACCUCGAUGUCGGCUCAUCACAUCCUGGGGCUGAAGUAGGUCCCAAGGGUAUGGCUGUUCGCCAUUUAAAGUGGUACGCGAGCUGGGUUUAGAACGUCGUGAGACAGUUCGGUCCCUAUCUGCCGUGGGCGUUGGAAGAUUGAGAGGGGCUGCUCCUAGUACGAGAGGACCGGAGUGGACGCAUCACUGGUGUUCGGGUUGUCAUGCCAAUGGCAUUGCCCGGUAGCUAAAUGCGGAAAAGAUAAGCGCUGAAAGCAUCUAAGCGCGAAACUUGCCUCGAGAUGAGUCUUCCCUGGGGCUUUAAGCCCCCUGAAGGAACGUUAAAGACUAUGACGUUGAUAGGCUGGGUGUGUAAGUGCAGCGAUGCAUUGAGCUAACCAGUACUAAUGAUCCGUGAGGCUUAACCUUACAACACCGAAGGUGUUU